rnacentral:rRNA from 1 species
GACGGGGGAUGCAAGAGUUAUCCGGAAUCACUGGGCGUAAAGCGUCUGUAGGUGGUUUAAUAAGACAACUGUUAAAUCUUGAGGCUCAACCUCAAAAUCGCAGUCGAAACUAUUAGACUAGAGUAUAGUAGGGGUAAAGGGAAUUUCCAGUGGAUCGGUGAAAUGCGUAGAUAUUGGAAAGAACACCGAUGGCGAAGGCACUUUUCUGGUCUAUUAAUAACAUUCAGAGACGAAAGCUAGGGUAGCAAAUGGG